AGGCACCCCGCGAGAGACAAGAAAGGAUCCUUCUUCUCCCAUCUCACAAGAACAAAAAAAAAUCUCAAUCUCCUUUCCCCUCUCCGCCUCUCACCGUCGCGUCGCCCUGCCGUAUUUGCGUCGAUCUGCCCCUCCCCGCCGUAUCCGCACUGCCCCGCCGUACCAGCGCUGCCUCGCCAUACCUGUGCCGCUCUGCCUAGCGUCACCGGCGCCUUUCCUGCGAGGUCCGCCGCCCGCAAGGAUGCAGUCACGGUGACCGUGCUUGGAACCAUGGCAGCGACGAGAUCCGUUUUCUCAAGAUGUUAUAGGGUUUUUUUUUUGAGAAUCUUCCGGGUCUCGCCGUCGCGCGUCGCCAGACCACCCCAUCGAACCCCUGUGUCCCUCUCGCGGGCGCCCACUGCCACCCGCGACUUCCCCUGGUCUGCCGCUUCGGCCUCAUAGACCACCCAUCCGGUCUACAACUCCUGAAGUAAUUAUUUCCACGGAAUAGAUACUUGGAGAUUGCUCUGAAAUGUCAGUAACUAUCUGGACCUCCUCUCGUCAUCAUCCUCAAUGAGCCCCUGAAUUCAGGAAUGAUGGUAGAGUGCAGACUCUAAUUCAGUUAUUUUCUUCCCUUUUUUUCUUCAUUGCAACUUAGUAAUUAUUUCCACAGUAUAGAUACUUGGAGAUUGCUAUGUAAUUUCAGUUUUCAUAUGGUGGGCUAUGGCAGAUUAUAGAAAAAGAGAACAUGAAGUUGACUUUUGUAGAACUCUUUGUGUUACUUCAACUGCAAGAUCCAAAUUGUCUUCAGAAAUAAUGGUCUUUCACAUGGAAUAAAAUCCAGCGUUCAGGUAUGUCUUCAGAAAUAACUUUUUUUCCUUCCUCUGUUCAGGUAUGUCUUCUGAAAUAAAAUCCAGCGUCAUAUGGAAUAAAACCUGACAUGGAUACUUUGUUUGCUGCAUGGGUGCCUAAAUAUUUGAGAUGGCUGUGUAGGGAAUGGGGAUGUAUGAUCUUCUCCGAUUUCCAAAUUAUCAUAUUUAUAGCUGUUAUGGUUCUCAGAUUUUGUAUGCAAGCAAAGGUAAGGUAGAAGCAAUAAGUUAUUCAAUGAGAAGAACAUGGUAUUAGAGAAAAUAUGGCUAAAAGAACUCAAUAGGCACACGGUAGUAUUACUGUCUACACAUAUUUAUAUACACAUGGGUUUUCUAGUAUAGUUAGACUCAAACAUGUGCAUGGAAGAAGCUUACUACCGCUAUCCAUACUCCUAAAUGGCCAUGGAUGCAGCCAUCUCUUUUAAGAUGAACCGACCGUUAGUUUUUAUAAUACUUGGAACGACAAGCUUCCUUUCUAAGAACAUGCAGCAUGCAUAUGCGAUGGCUGUUUUGGAAUCUUUGCGUUGCACCUCUCCUCUCCCCAAAUGGAAUGCAUGCCCAGCAACGAGCAAAACUGUGUGUUGUUGUAUAUACAUGUCACUACAACACAAAUGUCUUGUAGAGACAUUUUCAUUGAGCCAAUAUACUCUUUGUCUCUACCUAGAGACAAUUUUGAGACAGAGUUUCAUGUAGAGGCAGUUUAUGAGGCGCUAUGGAUAAUGUCUUAAAUAUAGAGGCACUAGUUGAGACAUUAUGGUGUAGAGACAUUUUAUGAGGCAUAUAAUAGAUUGUCACAAGACUCCUGUAGAGACAUGGUUUUGAGAUACUUGAUGAAAUGACCUUACGGUAUGGUUAGAGGCACUAUUUGAGACACAUUUUAUGUUGUGUAGAGACAUUCUUAGCAAGUUUGAGACAUGUAGCAGACUAGUCAUAACAAUUUCAUUAGAAGUAUAAGCAAGAAUUGGUAUCAGGUUGAGAUGGUUAGGUGAGUGUGUAGUUUUCCUUAAGGUCUUGAGUUCGAGGAUUGGUUUCAACAUGAUUUUUUCAAUGUAUAUUUUCUAGCACAUGAGUAUAAAGACACAAUUUAAUGUCUUACAAAAUGUCGCAUUGAAUGUAGAGACAAUAUAGUGUCUCUAUGAAAUGUCUAAAAAGUAUAGAGACACAAAGCAAUGUCUUUAUGAAAUGUCGUAUUGAACGUAGAGACGGUAUAGUGUCUCUAUGCAAUGUUUAACACGAUAAAGACGUUUUAUUAGUGUCUCAUCACAGUGUAGUUUACUUUCAGCCUAAUGGUACAUAAUUUCUAGUUUGUUGAUGAGGAAUUGUUAACUAAUACCACUUUAUAUAUAUUGAUGCUACCACAUGUAUUCAUCAAACUCCUAAAAUGAGUGUCGUUUUAUUUUCAGGAACGCAAUGUCAGCUCACAUAUUUCUGCCCACCAACCUGCUACAAAUCGAGACAGGCUGUUUGGAGGUUUCUUCAAUGAGUCUAGAACAAGAGCAAUUAGGUUCUCAUUUCUGCUCAUGAGCAGCCAAAUGACAGCAACUGAAUAGGUCUUGCGUAUGCAGUGUUUUGGUGUAGCAAACCACUGCAUACCCAUUUGUGAUGGUAGUUGACAUGUUAAGUCAUGUUGUUUGGGCAUAGCAAACUAGCCAUUUACUGAUUUGUUAUGGCUGUAAUGAGGUUUUCUUUUUGUGUAGAAACAAAAUUUGCUACUGAUCAUGAUCGUGUUAUUUGAAUGAAGAGUGAGAUUGAUUGAAAUAAUUUGUGCCAUGUGCAGUUUCUA